rnacentral:rRNA from 1 species
CCUACGGGUGGCAGCAGUGAGGAAUAUUGGUCAAUGGACGCAAGUCUGAACCAGCCAUGCCGCGUGCAGGAAGACGGCUCUAUGAGUUGUAAACUGCUUUUGUACGAGGGUAAACGCAGAUACGCGUAUCUGUCUGAAAGUAUCGUACGAAUAAGGAUCGGCUAACUCCGUGCCAGCAGCCGCGGUAAUACGGAGGAUUCAAGCGUUAUCCGGAUUUAUUGGGGUUGAAGGGGGCGUAGGCGGUCGGAUAAGUUAGAGGUGAAAUCCCGAGGCUCAACUUCGGAAUUGCCUAUGAUACUGUUCGUCUAGAGAGUAGUUGCGGUAGGCGGAAUGUAUGGUGUAGCGGUGAAAUGCUUAGAGAUCAUACAGAACACCGAUUGCGAAGGCAGCUUACCAAGCUACUUCUGACGUUGAGGCACGAAAGCGUGGGGAGCAAACAGGAUUAGAUACCCGUGUAGUC